AAACUAACAACAACGGUUCUCUUGGAUCUGGCAUCGAUGAAGACCGCAGCGAAAAGCGAAAAGUAAUGAGAUUGCAGAUUUCUGUGUUACAUCGAUCUUUGCCCGCACUUUGCGCCCCCUGGUUUUCCGGGGGGCAUGCCUGUUCGCGCGUCAUU
rnacentral:rRNA from 1 species